rnacentral:rRNA from 1 species
UAAGAUUUUGAACCGCAUGGUUCGAAAUUGAAAGGCCGCUUCGGCUGUCACUUAUGGAUGGACCCGCGUCGCAUUAGCUAGUUGGUGAGGUAACGGCUCACCAACGCAACUAUGCGUAGCCGACCUGAGAGGGUGAUCGGCCACACUGGGACUGAGACACGGCCCAGACUCCUACGGGAGGCAACAUUAGGGAAUCUUCCGCAAUGGACGAAAGUCUGACGGAGCAA